AUACGGAGGAUCCAAGCGUUAUCCGGAAUCAUUGGGUUUAAAGGGUCCGUAGGCGGUCUUAUAAGUCAGCGGUGAAAGUUUUUGGCUUAACCAAAAAAUUGCCGUUGAUACUGUAGGGCUUGAAUUUUUGUGAAGUAACUAGCAUAUGUAGUGUAGCGGUGAAAUGCUUAGAUAUUACAUGGAAUACCGAUUGCGAAGGCAGGUUACUAACAAACGAUUGACGCUGAUGGACGAAAGCGUGGGUAGCGAACAGGAUUAGAUACCCUGGUAGUCCACGCUGUAAACGAUGGAUACUAGUUGUUGGAUUUUCGGAUUCAGUGACUAAGCGAAAGUGAUAAGUAUCCCACCUGGGGAGUACGGUCGCAAGACUGAAACUCAAAGGAAUUGACGGGG
rnacentral:rRNA from 1 species